UAGUCCACGCCGUAAACGAUGUAUGCUAGACGUUUGGGGGCUUAGCCCUUGGGUGUCGCAGUUAACGCAUUAAGCAUACCGCCUGGGGAGUACGACCGCAAGGUUGAAACUCAAAUGAAUUGACGGGGGCCCGCACAAGCGGUGGAGUAUGUGGUUUAAUUCGACGCAACGCGAAGAACCUUACCAGCUCUUGACAUGUGAAGUAUGAAUCUAGGAGACUAGAUUCUUCGGUUCGGCCGGCUUCAACACAGGUGCUGCAUGGCUGUCGUCAGCUCGUGUCGUGAGAUGUUGGGUUAAGUCCCGCAACGAGCGCAACCCUCAUCUUUAGUUGCUACCAGGUAAUGCUGGGCACUCUAGAGAAACUGCCGGUGAUAAGCCGGAGGAAGGCGGGGGAUGACGUCAAGUCCUCAUGGGCCCUUAUGGGGCUGGGGCUACACACGUACUACAAUGGUGGUGACAGUGGGAAGCGAAGGGCGCGGAGCCGGGAGCGGAAUCCCCAAAAACAUCUCAGUUC
rnacentral:rRNA from 1 species